rnacentral:rRNA from 1 species
CCUACGGGGGCAGCAGUGAGGAAUAUUGGUCAAUGGGCGGGAGCCUGAACCAGCCAAGCCGCGUGAAGGAAGAAGGCGCCAGGCGUCGUAAACUUCUUUUGUCGGGGAACAAAGGGCGCCACGCGUGGCGUUGUGAGUGUACCCGAAGAAAAAGCAUCGGCUAACGCAGUGCCAGCAGCCGCGGUAAUACGGGGGAUGAGAGCGUUAGCCGGAUUUAUUGGGUGAAAAGGGUGCGUAAGCGGUCCGGAAAGUCAGAGGUAAAAGCUCGGGGCUCAACCCCGGAGAGCCGUUGAAACUGUCGGAUCAGAGACGGCUAGAAGUACGCGGAAUGCGCGGUGUAGCGGUGAAAUGCAUAGAUAUCGCGCAGAACUCCGAUUGCGAAGGCAGCGUACCGGCGCCGGACUUACGCUGAGGCACGAAUGCGUGGGUAUCGAACAGGAUUAGAUACCCUUGUAGUC